UACAGAGGUCCCGAGCGUUGUUCGGAUUCACUGGGCGUAAAGGGUGCGUAGGUGGCUUGAAAAGUUUGAUGUGAAAGCUCAGGGCUUAACCCUGAAAUGGCAUUGAAUACUGUCGAGCUGGAGGUUUGGAGGGGGGACUGGAAUUCUUGGUGUAGCAGUGAAAUGCGUAGAUAUCAAGAGGAACACCAGUGGCGAAGGCGAGACCCUGGACAACACCUGACACUGAGGCACGAAAGCUAGGGGAGCAAACAGG
rnacentral:rRNA from 1 species